AUUGAACGCUGGCGGCAUGCUUUACACAUGCAAGUCGAACGGCAGCACGGGUGCUUGCACCUGGUGGCGAGUGGCGGACGGGUGAGUAAUGCAUCGGAACGUGUCCUGAAGUGGGGGAUAACGCAUCGAAAGAUGUGCUAAUACCGCAUAUUCUCUGAGGAGGAAAGUAGGGGAUCGAAAGACCUUAUGCUUUUGGAGCGGCCGAUGUCUGAUUAGCUAGUUGGUAGGGUAAUGGCUUACCAAGGCGACGAUCAGUAGUUGGUCUGAGAGGACGACCAGCCACACUGGGACUGAGACACGGCCCAGACUCCUACGGGAGGCAGCAGUGGGGAAUUUUGGGACAAUGGGCGCAAGCCUGAUCCAGCAAUGCCGCGUGAGUGAAGAAGGCC
rnacentral:rRNA from 1 species